rnacentral:rRNA from 1 species
GAAGACUGAAGUGGAGAAAGGUUUGGCGUGAACAUUGUUUGGACGUCAGUGAGUCGUUCCUAAGAGAUAGGGUAGUGCUUUUAGUAGUGGUGAGUUUAUUUCAUCAGUCUAUCGAAAGGGAAAUAGGUUUACAUUCCUAUACCUGCGUUGUUUUAACUUGUUAAAACUUAAGCGGCUUGGGUGGUAACACACAGUUGUACCUCUUACGGCGGGCCAAUUUGUAGAAAGAGUCUUCUUUUCUUUUGAACUAGCUUUGUUUGGGAAGGCUUUUUAGUUGACCCAAAGCAGCUUACCACGGAACAGAUUCACUCUGAGAGGUGGAAGCUUGGCUAGAGAGAGUGGCAUUGAUUUUUUCUGUGCCAUCUACAGCAAUUGGCACGCUCCUUGAAACAGAGGUCAACCAUGCAUCUUCGAUGCAAAAGGCCGACCGCAGCGCGUACUCAUAACCGCAUCCGGUCUCCAAGGUGAAUAGCCUCUAGUUAAUUGGAGAAGGUAGAUUAGGGAAGUCGGCAAAAUAGAUCCG